GGUUGAAGGUGGUGGUGUUGUUCCUGUGUGUUGUGUGUGUGAGUGAAAGAGAGAGAGAGGUUUGUCUGGGCAGCUAUGGAGAUCACCAGGCAGAAUUUUAAGGAGCGCCUAAAUCUAAUAUAUGAAGCUAUUGAUGAAGCUGAUUUUCUGGCAAUCGAUGGAGAAUUUUCAGGAAUAAGUGAUGGACCUUCAGUGACCACACUGACAAAUGGCUUGGACACGCCAGAAGAAAGAUAUCAUAAGCUGAAAAAGAAUCAUAGAAACAUACAGUACAGAUGAGGUUCUUCAGCCUAUUGAGUCUGCACUGACUUUUGAGAAACACCUGACUUUCAACAUAAUCCUGUUUACAAGCACUAGGCCCAUGGCCUUGG